rnacentral:rRNA from 1 species
ACAUCUAGAUAUUUUUCUCUGGCAAGGAACAACCACAUCUCAUCUGAUCUUGAAGGUAAGCAGGGUCAGCCCUGGUAAGGACUUAAAUGGGAAGCCACCAAUGAAUACCAGGUGUUAUAUUUC